rnacentral:rRNA from 1 species
GGGUCAGUAGGUUGGUCGUGCCACCGGUACGUACUGGUCUCACUGAUUCCUCCUUCCUGAAGAGCCGUAAUGCCAUUAAUUUGGUGUUGCGGGGAAACAGGACUGUUACUUCGAAAAAAUUAGAGUGUUUAAAGCAAGCUAACGCUUGAAUACAUUAGCAUGGAAUAAUGAAAUAGGACGAUCGAUCCUAUUUUAUUGGUUUCUAGGAUUGACGUA